rnacentral:rRNA from 1 species
UACAGAGGGUGCAAGCGUUAAUCGGAAUUACUGGGCGUAAAGCGUGCGCAGGCGGCUCCUUAAGCCAGAUGUGAAAGCCCCGGGCUUAACCUGGGAAUGGCAUUUGGGACUGCAAGGCUUGAGUGCGGCAGAGGAGACUGGAAUUCCUGGUGUAGCAGUGAAAUGCGCAGAUAUCGGGAAGAACACCCGUGGCGAAGGCGGCUCUCUGGGACGUAACUGACGCUGAGACGCGAAAGCGUGGGGAGCAAACAGG